GUUGAAGAGCUUCAACAAGAAGCUCACGGCCAAAACUAAGAAAAAUCAACUCCAUUUCAAGCCAUCCCAAAAUUAUUUCUUUGGUGUAAACCCACUAUUUUGAGGUCCCUAAGUAGUGUGAAAGUGUUGUUGGGGCGAUCAAAUCAUCCGUUUGGUAGAUCACAAACCCUAACUAUUUGUGGGAUUGAAGAAGAAAGAUCGUGGGCAGCCCGAGACGUAGGUUGGACUUAUCUUGUGUUUGGAUUAUUAUUGGAGAGCGUUUGAGGUACAGACGCACAACCUGGUGAUCCACCUGUUUAGGACACCCCCUUCUGCUAUUCGGAGUGCUCCUCUCAUUCCGGAGCUUAUAUUUUUGGUAUAUAUAUUUGUUAGUGCAUUUAUAUAUAUUCGUUCAUGGGUACGGCGGGGCCCUGUCCCGUCAUAUGAUUCUGUCGGUCUGUUUAGAGGUCUGUGGACAUGUUUGUGGGUUAAGGUCUUUCUGUACGAAUGCGUGUAUAUGUUGUGUUUGGGCGAUCUCAUUCGCCGCGGCGGCCGGUCCGCAUAUGUUUACAU